UACAGAGGUCCCGAGCGUUGUUCGGAUUCACUGGGCGUAAAGGGUGCGUAGGUGGCUUUGCAAGUCUGAUGUGAAAUCUCCAGGCCCAACCUGGAAACUGCAUUAGAAACUGUGAGGCUGGAGGCUUGGAGGGGGAACUGGAAUGCUCGGUGUAGCAGUGAAAUGCGUAGAGAUCGAGCGGAACACCAGUGGCGAAGGCGAGUUCCUGGACAAGUCCUGACACUGAGGCACGAAAGCCAGGGGAGCAAACAGG
rnacentral:rRNA from 1 species